GCUGGUUGGCGUUCUGGGCCUGGUUCAUGACACUUUGUGUUAACUAUUCCAGGAUGUCAGCAUAGUU
rnacentral:pre_miRNA from 1 species